UUUGAGGCUGCAGUGAGCUGUGAUUGAGCUAUUGCACUGCAGCCUGCGUGACAGAACAAGACCAAGUCUCAAAAAAAAAAAAAUCAAAACACUGUAAUAGAAAUAAAGACUGCCUUAUACCAAAAAAUGUACACCUAGGGAAAUCAUAAACUGCAGAAAGUAAAAGACAAGGGAAAAUCUUCAAGGAAGCAGAGAAAAGAAGCACCUUACCUGCAGAGGAACAAGGAUAAUAGAAUGUGGAAUAUGUCAACUGAUGACCUAGCUCUUCACAGUGUUACGUGUCUCAAGGAGAAAAUGCAGGUUAACCUUGUACCUCAGUGAAGUUAAAGAACAGCAAAAGGGGGAGGUAUGGCUCAGCUAGAAGAGAAAUCAACAUCACCCAAAGAAGUAUAAGUUUUAGAAAAAACAGGCCAAUUUAUUUCCGGGCAAAGCUCAUGUACCCUCCUGGCUACCUUCCUCAAGAGAAUUGUUGUGAAAACAGUUCCAUCUUCCCUCCCUGCUCCAUCUUUUCUGGGCGUCCACUCUCUGACUCUACCCACUACUGUCCAGAGCAAUACUUCAAGACUGAGUGCUGUGCCAAUCUCUACUGUGGGACAGAGUAUCAACACGGUGCUGCUCACAGGAGAUGCCCUGGGACCACCUCUUAUCAGAGUCCCUCACAUGACUUUGCUUUUUGGCCAUCUAAGAAAUAAUAUCAACUCUUCUAAUAAGUAAGAUCAAUAAUCAUGAAGCCCUUGGAGCAGCACAGCUUUUCAGGCCACAACAAGUGGAUCAAAGGCCUCAGCACAGUCAACUCCAAGUGACUUUGCUAUACCAUGACCCCUGUGAUCUUCAGGUUUGUCAGAACGACUCAAGACAAAUUCUACAAUGGACCACAAAACUUUCUGUGACUUAAACUGUCAUAUUUUUGCUAAGGUUAAUGUUUCUUCUAUCUCAUCUAUUCUGAAGGUUGAUUAUGAUGUAGCAAUAAUGACACUUUUGCUUGUUACACAGCAUGUUGCAGAGUAAAAUACACUCUACAAAAGACUUGUACAUUAGGCAUCAUCUCAUUUACCUUUGAGUAAACAGAGAAGUUAAGAAAUGACUCACUUCACAAAGGCAUCAGAGGUAAUGAAAUGGAUGAUAAACUCAAAAUUCCAGUCAGUGCAGGGCCACUACAACAUGUAAGCCAUGUCAAGAAACUCAGAAGCAUCACAUGAUGACACUUUUGUAAGUGUGGACAACUUUUCAGGCCCCUAAAAUCUGCUGUAAUGAGGAAGAACUGCCCACUGUCAGUGUUUAGAAACCUCCUCUCUGCCUUCCACUGCCUUCUUUCCCAGCUACGAUACCUCUGACUCCUUGCCACUGUCUUCCCAUGUAGAGUUCUGUACACAUCUAACUUAAGCGCCUGG